rnacentral:tRNA from 4 species
GGCUCAGUAGCUCAGUCGGUAGAGCAACGGACUGAAAAUCCGUGUGUCGGCGGUUCGAUUCCGUCCUGAGCCACCA